ensembl:lncRNA
CAUCAGAUUGGUUGCUAUGUUAAUAUUUUAGGCUUAAAGGACCAGAAUUAAUUCGUUCAGUCUUAUCUCUGAUGCGUUGGUUUUCUGUCAAAAAUUCCUGACAGAAUGAACAGCCAAAAUGAAUUGGGAUAAUUAGAGACAGAGUCAUGCAGCCCAUCAUGCCGUCCUUGGAAUUACUGGGCACACCAUCAUCUCUUGCUUGGAUUCAGGAUCUUGGUGUGAGGUGAUCCCUCUUCCCUAUUCCACAGAGCGACAAUUUGGAGCUCUAAAUAGACCACCCCAUGAUUGUUUUCUAUGAAUAAUGAAUAUGGAGUAUGAUCUUCCUCUGUUUUGAUGAACAACUACUACUACAACAAUCAGACGAAAUCUAGCAGGCAGCUGGAGGAGGUGUUGCAAAGCCCCUAAAAGUGACAAAGUUUAAGUUAAAGGUGUAUAGGCUGACUAUUUUUUUACUGCUUCUUAUUUUGCAUGAUAAUGAAGUAGUUUUCUAUUAUUAGAGAGGCCCUGUGAUGCAGGUAAGAUCCUCCAGAGGAUGUUCCAGUUCAUUUGACCUUACAGUUAAAUAGAGAAGUGUUUGGGGCAAGACGACAGAAACACAGAAAACUGACAGCUGGAAUGAGAACGUGAAGUUUACAGCUUUUUCAUACCUAGUCCCAUCUCUGCCCCUCCCCCAGUCCAUCCUCUCAGAUGUUUUCUUUCUUAAAUAGGAAUGUGGAGGAAGGGAGGAGGGAAAGAAUUAUACAAGUGUCUGGCUGCCAAUAAAGACAGCACCCACUUCAUGGUCAGAAAUGAUUCAUCUUUAUGACCAUUCUUAUCACCAUUUACUUAGGAACAGCUGAGAAUUCAGUCAUGUGGCAGUCAGCAACUAUAAUCUUUCUAAUCCAGAUUUUCUACUUCUGCCUUUUAAUCCCUGGUUGGUUACUCCAAUCUAGAUUUCUUCCCUCUAAGAAAUUUGCUAAAGUCUCCAAAAGGUUUUUGGAGGGAGAAAAUGCUACUAAAGAUCAUUCUGGAAUUUCAGAUCUUACUUAGGAAAACUGACUUCUACUGAGACCAAAUUGCUGCCAACGGAAUCACUGUGUGUUCGAAGUAUGAGAAUCUCCCAGGUGGGACUCAGGAUGGCAACACAGGCAUCUAGAAGCAAUUUAAGAGGUGAUUAAAGCCCCAGGACAUGGCGAAGUAAAAGAAAACAAAUAACAAAGCAAUGGCUGCAUAGCACGUGUUGUUGUUAAGCCCAUCAAAGGUAAUUAUGAAAAAUAUCCGAGACAUGGGAUUGAUGAUCUUAGGAUUAAUACUUUUUGUAAAACAUCUUUAAAAUAUCUCUGUUUUAAAAUGUGUAGAUAUAGAUCUAUCAGGGAUCUCUCUUUUUAAAAUAAAGGGAGACACAAUGAAAAGUUUGGAGAUCAGUCGUUCAAAAAGUUUAAAAUUAAAGUUAUUUAACCUGAUGAUGUCUAAAAGCACACCUUUGCCUCUCCCAAUGCAGCAAACGUUGAAGGAAAAACAAAAAAAGUCCUAAAGAAUGAAAAAGAAACUUGAAACAAAGAAUAUCAUUGACAAUUUGGUGUACAAUGUCAUUCACAAUGGUCUUAUUGAUACGACUUCUGGAGCUAAUUUUUUUCAUGUGUGAGCAUUUACCAUUUUAUGUUUAGGUUUAUAUCAAUUUUUCAAAUUGCCUUUAAACUGUUAAGCCUGUAAAAAAAAAAAAUUAAUUCUAAAGGAAAAUAAAAUUAUCAUGCAGGUCAUUUAGCUUAAGAUAAAAGUCAUUUCAUUGUAUGCCCCAAGUCUUACUCAAAGAAAGUCUGUGAGUUCUUUUAAAGGCUCAGGAAUAGAAUCCCAACUACGUAGUGGGAACUCUUACUGUAAUUUUAACUACCUGUGUUCAAUAGUCAUGGUGAUUUUGAUUUGCUUUUCUUUUACUAAUUUUUUGUGCCUGUUCUGUGGUUUCCAUGGUGAAUUCCUGUAAUACAGGUAGACUAAUCCUAUCUUCCUUUGAGUCAAACAGUUCCAGAGGUGAUGUAUCACAGUGGGCCCUGUGAAAUCCAAUCAAAGCUGGGAGAGGCUAGUUUUAGUUUCAGAAAAGAAAUUUACUCGCAGACAAUAUAUAAGCUUCCAAUAAUCAGAAAGGAAAAUCAGGUUAAAAGAUUUAAUGAGGUUUUAUCUUCAUAAUUAGUCACAUCAUUUUAUUAAAAGGAAAAAAAGAAAAGCAGGCUUCAAAGAGCCUUCUGUACCAUAAUAACAGAUUUGCAUGGUGUGUUGCAGUUUACAAAACU